rnacentral:rRNA from 1 species
GACGAACGCUGGCGGCGUGCCUAAUACAUGCAAGUAGAACGCUGAAGGAGGAGCUUGCUUCUCUGGAUGAGUUGCGAACGGGUGAGUAACGCGUAGGUAACCUGCCUGGUAGCGGGGGAUAACUAUUGGAAACGAUAGCUAAUACCGCAUAAGAGUAGAUGUUGCAUGACAUUUGCUUAAAAGGUGCAAUUGCAUCACUACCAGAUGGACCUGCGUUGUAUUAGCUAGUUGGUGGGGUAACGGCUCACCAAGGCGACGAUACAUAGCCGACCUGAGAGGGGGGUCGGCCACACUGGGACUGAGACACGGCCCAGGCUCCUACGGGAGGCAGCAGUAGGGAAUCUUCGGCAAUGGACGGAAGUCUGACCGAGCAACGCCGCGUGAGUGGAGAAGGUUUUCGGAUCGUAAAGCUCUGUUGUAAGAGAAGAACGAGUGUGAGAGUGGAAAGUUCACACUGUGACGGUAUCUUACCAGAAAGGGACGGCUAACUACGUG